rnacentral:rRNA from 1 species
GACGAACGCUGGCGGCGUGCCUAAUACAUGCAAGUAGAACGCUGAAGGAGGAGCUUGCUCUUCUGGAUGAGUUGCGAACGGGUGAGUAACGCGUAGGUAACCUGCCUGGUAGCGGGGGAUAACUCUUGGAAACGAUAGCUAAUACCGCAUAACAGUAGAUGUUGCAUGACAUUUACUUAAAAGUUGCAAUUGCAUCACUACCAGAUGGACCUGCGUUGUAUUAGCUAGUUGGUGGGGUAACGGCUCACCAAGGCGACGAUACAUAGCCGACCUGAGAGGGUGAUCGGCCACCCUGGGACUGAGACACGGCCCAGACUCCUACGGGAGGCAGCAGUAGGGAAUCUUCGGCAAUGGACGGAAGUCUGACCGAGCAACGCCGCGUGAGUGAAGAAGGUUGUCGGAUCGUAAAGCUCUGUUGUAAGAGAAGAACGAGUGUGAGAGUGGAAAGUUCACACUGUGACGGUAGCUUACCAGAAAGGGACGGCUAACUACGUG